CCUACGGGAGGCAGCAGUGGGGAAUAUUGCACAAUGGGGGAAACCCUGAUGCAGCAACGCCGCGUGAAGGAUGACGGUUUUCGGAUUGUAAACUUCUUUUCUUAGUGACGAAGACAGUGACGGUAGCUAAGGAAUAAGCAUCGGCUAACUACGUGCCAGCAGCCGCGGUAAUACGUAGGAUGCAAGCGUUAUCCGGAUUUACUGGGUGUAAAGGGAGCGCAGGCGGGACUGCAAGUUGGGUGUGAAAUACCGUGGCUUAACCACGGAACUGCAUCCAAAACUGUAGUUCUUGAGUGAAGUAGAGGCAAGCGGAAUUCCGAGUGUAGCGGUGAAAUGCGUAGAUAUUCGGAGGAACACCAGUGGCGAAGGCGGCUUGCUGGGCUUUAACUGACGCUGAGGCUCGAAAGUGUGGGGAGCAAACAGGAUUAGAUACCCUGGUAGUCCACACUGUAAACGAUGAAUACUAGGUGUGCGGGGACUGACCCCCUGCGUGCCGCAGUUAACACAAUAAGUAUUCCACCUGGGGAGUACGAUCGCAAGGUUGAAACUCAAAGGAAUUGACGGGGGCCCGCACAAGCGGUGGAUUAUGUGGUUUAAUUCGAAGCAACGCGAAGAACCUUACCAGGGUUUGACAUCCUGCUAACGAAGUAGAGAUACAUUAGGUGCCCUUCGGGGAAAGCAGAGACAGGUGGUGCAUGGUUGUCGUCAGCUCGUGUCGUGAGAUGUUGGGUUAAGUCCCGCAACGAGCGCAACCCCUAUUGUUAGUUGCUACGCAAGAGCACUCUAGCGAGACUGCCGUUGACAAAACGGAGGAAGGUGGGGACGACGUCAAAUCAUCAUGCCCCUUAUGUCCUGGGCUACACACGUAAUACAAUGGCAUUUAACAGAGGGAAGCAAAACCGCGAGGUAGAGCAAAUCCCUAAAAGGUGUCUCAGUUCGGAUUGCAGGCUGCAACUCGCCUGCAUGAAGUCGGAAUUGCUAGUAAUCGCGGAUCAGCAUGCCGCGGUGAAUACGUUCCCGGGCCUUGUACACACCGCCCGUCACACCAUGAGAGUCGGGAACACCCGAAGUCCGUAGCCUAACCGCAAGGAGGGCGCGGCCGAAGGUGGGUUCGAUAAUUGGGGUGAAGUCGUAACAAGGUAGCCGUUCGAGAACGAGCGGCUG
rnacentral:rRNA from 1 species